AAAUUGAAGAGUUUGAUCAUGGCUCAGAUUGAACGCUGGCGGCAGGCCUAACACAUGCAAGUCGAACGGUAACAGGAAGCAGCUUGCUGCUUCGCUGACGAGUGGCGGACGGGUGAGUAAUGUCUGGGAAACUGCCUGAUGGAGGGGGAUAACUACUGGAAACGGUGGCUAAUACCGCAUAACGUCGCAAGACCAAAGAGGGGGACCUUCGGGCCUCUUGCCAUCAGAUGUGCCCAGAUGGGAUUAGCUAGUUGGUGAGGUAACGGCUCACCAAGGCGACGAUCCCUAGCUGGUCUGAGAGGAUGACCAGCCACACUGGAACUGAGACACGGUCCAGACUCCUACGGGAGGCAGCAGUGGGGAAUAUUGCACAAUGGGCGCAAGCCUGAUGCAGCCAUGCCGCGUGUAUGAAGAAGGCCUUCGGGUUGUAAAGUACUUUCAGCGGGGAGGA
rnacentral:rRNA from 2 species